UACGUAGGGGGCUAGCGUUGUCCGGAAUCAUUGGGCGUAAAGAGCGUGUAGGCGGCUCGGUAAGUCCGCUGUGAAAGUCCAGGGCUCAACCCUGGAAUGCCAGUGGAAACUGUUGAGCUAGAGUCCGGAAGAGGCGAGUGGAAUUCCUGGUGUAGCGGUGAAAUGCGCAGACAUCAGGAGGAACACCAAUGGCGAAGGCAGCUCGCUGGGACGGUACUGACGCUGAGACGCGAAAGCGUGGGGAGCAAACAGG
rnacentral:rRNA from 1 species